rnacentral:rRNA from 1 species
UGGGGAAUCUUGCGCAAUGCACGAAAGUGUGACGCAGCAACGCCGCGUGGGGGAAGAAGGCCUUCGGGUUGUAAACCCCUUUCAGGAGGGACGAAGUGCCGGCCGUUAAUAGCGGUUCGGCAUGACGGUACCUCCACAAGAAGCCCCGGCUAACUACGUGCCAGCAGCCGCGGUAAUACGUAGGGGGCAAGCGUUGUCCGGAAUCAUUGGGCGUAAAGAGCGCGUAGGCGGUCCGGUAAGUCCGCUCUGAAAGUCCGGGGCUCAACCCCGGGAGGCGGGCGGAUACUGCCGGGCUAGAGUCCGGAAGAGGCGAGUGGAAUUCCUGGUGUAGCGGUGAAAUGCGCAGAUAUCAGGAGGAACACCAAUGGCGAAGGCAGCUCGCUGGGACGGUACUGACGCUGAGGCGCGAAAGCGUGGGGAGCAAACAGGAUUAGAUACCCGCGUAGUCC